UACGUAGGGGGCUAGCGUUGUCCGGAAUCAUUGGGCGUAAAGCGCGUGUAGGCGGCCCGGUAAGUCCGCUGUGAAAGUCGGGGGCUCAACCCUCGGAUGCCGGUGGAUACUGUCGGGCUCGAGUACGGAAGAGGCGAGUGGAAUUCCUGGUGUAGCGGUGAAAUGCGCAGAUAUCGGGAGGAACACCAAUGGCGAAGGCAGCUCGCUGGGACGGUACUGACGCUGAGACGCGAAAGCGUGGGGAGCAAACAGG
rnacentral:rRNA from 1 species